GAUGAACGCUGACAGAAUGCUUAACACAUGCAAGUCAACUUGAACUUCGGUUUGGGUGGCGGACGGGUGAGUAACGCGUAAAGAACUUGCCUCACAGAUAGGGACAACAUUUGGAAACGAAUGCUAAUACCUGAUAUUAUGAUUAUAUGGCAUCGUAUAAUUAUGAAAGCUAUAUGCGCUGUGAGAGAGCUUUGCGUCCCAUUAGCUAGUUGGAGAGGUAACGGCUCACCAAGGCGAUGAUGGGUAGCCGGCCUGAGAGGGUGAUCGGCCACAAGGGGACUGAGGCACGGCCCUUACUCCUUCGGGAGGCAGCAGUGGGGAAUAUUGGACAAUGGACCAAGAGUCUGAUCCAGCAAUUCUGUGUGCACGAUGAAGUUUUUCGGAAUGUAAAGUGCUUUCAGUUGGGAAGAAAAAAAUGACGGUACCAACAGAAGAAGUGACGGCUAAAUACGUG
rnacentral:rRNA from 1 species